AACAAACGCUGGCGGCGUGCCUAAUACAUGCAAGUCGAACGGGGAGAGCUUUCGGGUGAGUACUAGUGGCGCACGGGUGAGGAACGCGUGGAUAAUCUGCCUUAGAGUGGGGGAUAACUAGUCGAAAGAUUAGCUAAUACCGCAUAAGACCACAGGAGCUGCGGCUCAAGGGGUCAAAGGUUUUUCGCUCUAAGAUGAGUCCGCGUAAGAUUAGCUAGUUGGUGAGGUAACGGCUCACCAAGGCGACGAUCUUUAACUGGUCUGAGAGGAUGAUCAGUCACACUGGAACUGAGACACGGUCCAGACUCCUACGGGAGGCAGCAGUAGGGAAUAUUGCACAAUGGAGGAAACUCUGAUGCAGCGACGCCGCGUGAGUGAUGAAGGCCUUCGGGUCGUAAAGCUCUGUCGCAGGGGAAUAACACAAUGAAUGUACCCUGUAAGAAAGGAUCGGCUAACUUCGUGCCAGCCGCCGCAGUAAAAC
rnacentral:rRNA from 1 species